rnacentral:tRNA from 1 species
CGCGGGAUGGAGCAGUCUGGUAGCUCGUCGGGCUCAUAACCCGAAGGUCGUCGGUUCAAAUCCGGCUCCCGCAACC